UACGGGGGGGGUAAGCGUUGUUCGGAAUUACUGGGCGUAAAGGGCUUGUAGGUGGCCAACUAAGUCAGACGUGAAAUCCCUCAGCUUAACUGGGGAACUGCGUCUGAUACUGGAUGGCUUGAGUUUGGGAGAGGGAUGCGGAAUUCCAGGUGUAGCGGUGAAAUGCGUAGAUAUCUGGAGGAACACCGGUGGCGAAGGCGGCAUCCUGGACCAAUAUUGACGCUGAGGAGCGAAAGCCAGGGGAGCAAACGGG
rnacentral:rRNA from 1 species